ACUGGAGUUUGAUCCUGGCUCAGGAUGAACGCUAGCGGCAGGCUUAACACAUGCAAGUCGAGGGGUAAGGUAGCAAUAUCUGAGACCGGCGCACGGGUGCGUAACGCGUAUGCAAUCUACCUUUUACAGAGGGAUAGCCCAGAGAAAUUUGGAUUAAUACCUCAUAGCAUAGCAGCUUCGCAUGAAGUCACUAUUAAAGUUCCAACGGUAAAAGAUGAGCAUGCGUCCUAUUAGCUAGAUGGUAAGGUAACGGCUUACCAUGGCUACGAUAGGUAGGGGUCCUGAGAGGG
rnacentral:rRNA from 1 species